CUUCGCCCCUGCCUGCGCGCGCCUUCCGGACGAGAGAGAGAGAGUGGGGGGGGUUCUCAUUUCCGACCUCAGAUCGGACGAGAUUACCCGCUGAAUUUAAGCAUAUCACUAAGCGGAGGAAAAGAAACU
rnacentral:rRNA from 1 species